GAUGAAGAACGUAGUGAAAUGCGAUAAGUAGUGUGAAUUGCAGAAUUCAGUGAAUCAUCGAAUCUUUGAACGCACAUUGCGCCCUUUGGUAUUCCUUAGGGCAUGCCUGUUCGAGCGUCAUUUAAACCUUCAAGCUCAGCUUGGUGUUGGGUGACUGUCCGCUUCACCGCGGACUCGCCUCAAAAUUAUUGGCGGCCGGUACAUUGGCUCUCGAGCGCAGCAGAAACGCGUAACUCGAGGUCCUCGUGCUGGCUCCCAGAAGCUAUCUUCACAAUUUUGACCUCGGAGCAGGUAGGGAUACCCGCUGAACUUAAGCAUAUCAAUAAGCGGAGGA
rnacentral:misc_RNA from 1 species